GGUGCAUGGCCGUCGUCAGUUCGUACUGUGAAGCAUCCUGUUAAGUCAGGCAACGAGCGAGACCCACGCCAACAGUUGCCAGCAUGUCCUCCGGGAUGAUGGGGACACUGUUGGGACCGCCUCUGCUAAAGAGGAGGAAGGAAUGGGCAACGGUAGGUCAGCAUGCCCCGAAUUAUCCGGGCUACACGCGGGCUACAAUGGUCAGGACAAUGGGUAUCGACACCGAGAGGUGGAGGCAAUCUCCUAAACCUGUCCUUAGUUCGGAUUGUGGGCUGCAACUCGCCCACAUGAAGCUGGAAUCCGUAGUAAUCGCGUUUCAAAAUAGCGCGGUGAAUAUGUCCCUGCUCCUU
rnacentral:rRNA from 1 species